UACAGAGGGGGCAAGCGUUGUUCGGAAUUACUGGGCGUAAAGCGUGCGCAGGCGGUUCGUUAAGUUCGGUGUGAAAGCCCCGGGCUCAACCUGGGAAUGGCAAUGGAAACUGGCGAGCUUGAGUGUGGCAGAGGGGGGUGGAAUUCCGCGUGUAGCAGUGAAAUGCGUAGAGAUGCGGAGGAACACCGAUGGCGAAGGCAGCCCCCUGGGCCACCACUGACGCUCAGGCACGAAAGCGUGGGGAGCAAACAGG
rnacentral:rRNA from 1 species